rnacentral:lncRNA from 1 species
GGUCUUGUCCUGCCCCCUUGUUCCUGACUGGUUAUCCUUCCAAACGUCAAGAGAAGCGACAUUUUUAUUAAAGAUGCCCAAUAUGGCCCUGAAGUCUGCAGAUGAACAGGAGCAUUCCUGGGGAGUAGGGCACUUAUUGCUGCAGAAAAGUUGCCUGUAGAGGGCAAGAUCAAUAAAAAAGGAAUGAACAGUGAAAUGAAUGCUUGACACUGGCUGGAAUAUAGAACAAUAACAACCAUGUUAACAAACUGCAAACCUGUGCACAGAAACAAGAUAAAGAAAACAUACCACGAUGUUAACCACACGGUCUUUGGAUGGUGAAAAUAUGGGCUGGCUACCCUAAAUCCACACAUACCUUCUAAAGAGGCUGCCAUAAACUUACUAGCAACCAUUUGAAGGGGAGCUGCCUCAAGUGGCUUGGAGAUGAAGAGAGGAAACAAUCAUUAUGAUGGGAAGAAUGUGCCUUACCGCCCACACUGUGGCACUGAGAAGUCAUGCAGUCCAAUGAAAAACUACUGA